UGAAUAGACAUUUUUCUGAAGAAGACACACAAAUGACCAACAUGUACAUGAAAAGGUACCCAACAUCACUAAUAUUCAUCAGGGAAAAGCAAA